CGGACGGGGGAGUAACGCGUGGGUAACCUGCCUUGUACUGGGGGACGAACAGUUGGAAACGACUGCUAAUACCGCAUAAGCGCACAGCUUCGCAUGAAGCAGUGUGAAAAACUCCGGUGGUACAAGAUGGACCCGCGUCUGAUUAGCUGGUUGGUGAGGUAACGGCCCACCAAGGCGACGAUCAGUAGCCGGCCUGAGAGGGUGAACGGCCACAUUGGGACUGAGACACGGCCCAA
rnacentral:rRNA from 1 species